rnacentral:rRNA from 1 species
GAUGAACGCUGGCGGCGUGCCUAAUACAUGCAAGUCGAGCGAACGGACGAGAAGCUUGCUUCUCUGAUGUUAGCGGCGGACGGGUGAGUAACACGUGUAUAACCUACCUAUAAGACUGGGAUAACUUCGGGAAACCGGAGCUAAUACCGGAUAAUAUUUUGAACCGCAUGGUUCAAAAGUGAAAGACGGUCUUUCUGUCACUUAUAGAUGGAUCCGCGCUGCAUUAGCUAGUUGGUAAGUUAACGGCUUACCAAGGCAACGAUGCAUAGCCGACCUGAGAGGGUGAUAGGCCACACUGGAACUGAGACACGGUCAAGACUCCUACGGGAGGCAGCAGUAGGGAAUCUUCCGCAAUGGGCGAAAGCAUGACGGAGCAACGCCGCGUGAGUGAUGAAGGUCUUCGGAUCGUAAAACUCUGUUAUUAGGGAAGAACAUAUGUGUAAGUAACUGUGCACAUCUUGACGGUACCUAAUCAGAAAGCCACGGCUAACUACGUG